rnacentral:rRNA from 1 species
CCUACGGGAGGCAGCAGUGAGGAAUAUUGGUCAAUGGGCGCGAGCCUGAACCAGCCAUGUCGCGUGCAGGAUGACUGCCCUACGGGUUGUAAACUUCUUUUAUACAGGAAUAAAGUGAGGCACGUGUGCCUUUUUGUAUGUACUUUAUGAAUAAGGAUCGGCUAACUCCGUGCCAGCAGCCGCGGUAAUACGGAGGAUCCGAGCGUUAUCCGGAUUUAUUGGGUUUAAAGGGAGCGUAGAUGGUUGGUUAAGUCAGUUGUGAAAGUUUGCGGCUCAACCGUAAAAUUGCAAUUGAUACUGGCAGGCUUGAGUACAGUUGAGGUAGGCGGAAUUCGUGGUGUAGCGGUGAAAUGCUUAGAUAUCACGAAGAACACCGAUUGCGAAGGCAGCUUACUAAGCUGCCACUGACAUUGAUGCUCGAAAGCGUGGGUAGCAAACAGGAUUAGAUACCCGAGUAGUC